rnacentral:lncRNA from 1 species
GUGAAGCAUUAUUAUAUCACAUCAGCUUAUUUAAAAAUUUACUAGAGUUGUUUUAAGCCAAAUCGAAUUACCAUCGAUCUGUCGAUAGAUUACUCUAUUCCUAAUAGAAGACAUCAGAUUUGGCCAAUCUCAUGGUACUUUGUUGAUCUCACUCAGUUAGAAAAGUCUCAAGUUUGUUAUCUUCCAUCUAUACUACAAC